AUGUGUUUGUUACCAUUAGGUGAACAAGGGGACUGCAAGUGCCAGUGAAAUAUUAGCUGGUGCAUUGAAAGACAAUAAGCGUGCAGUGCUAUUUGGAGAGCCAACAUUUGGGAAAGGGAAGAUCCAGUCGGUCUUUGAGCUAUCUGAUGGCUCUGGGUUGGCUGUUACAGUAGCUCGUUAUGAGACCCCUGCACACAACGAUAUUGACAAGGUUGGUGUGAUUCCAGACCAUCCUCUACCUGGGUCAUUUCCUACUGAUGAAGAUGGAUUUUGUACCUGUCUCAAGGACCCUGCAUCUACUUGCAGUCUCAAUAAAGUCGAGCUAUUUUCAAGAUGACAAGGCCUUUUAGAUGUGAAUAUUAACAUUAUUUGUUCAAUUAUGUUGUUGCAAACCAGAAAAUUGGUUCACAUGGGUUCUGUAGUGGAGUUCCGAGGAUUUAGCUGUCAUUGUGUCCAUUUGAUUGCAAUUUAGGUAGGGUUUUCGAUCUUUUGUAUUAUACCCAUUCAUUUAAAUUAAUUUGCAGAAUUAUAUAAAUGGCGGUUCAUUGUUUU